AAAGUAUUAGUUAAACUAUAACGCUAAUUUGUCAAAUUAAAGUUACCUUUGUAUACUUUA
rnacentral:tRNA from 1 species